rnacentral:rRNA from 1 species
CAGCAGCCGCGGGAAUACGAAGGGUGCAAGCGUUAAUCGGAAUUACUGGGCGUAAAGCGUGCGUAGGCGGUGAGUUAAGUCUGCUGUGAAAUCCCCGAGCUUAACUUGGGAACUGCAUUUGAAACUGGCAAGCUAGAGUCUUGUAGAGGGGGGUAGAAUUCCAGGUGUAGCGGUGAAAUGCGUAGAGAUCGGGAGGAACAUCAGUGGCGAAGGCGGCCAUCUGGGACAACACUGACGCUGAGGCACGAAAGCGUGGGGAGCAAACAGGAUUAGAUACCCCUGUAGUCCCUGUCUCUUAUAC